CCGGUUGCCCUGCUCUCCUGGGAGCCUCGGGACCUACCCCUCCCAGACCUCUGUGGGCCGCAGGCUGGGCUGGGGGCGUCACCGCCCAUAUCCCUGAGAGCCCCAUAGGACAAAGUCUGCAGGCCCUGCGCGCUCCGGUGGCCCUGGCGCGCGCGGGCACUCGCUCGUACCGGAAAGGUUUGGGAUUGAAUGAAGCAACGCGAUUGGAGCCCGCCCGCCGGAGAGCGGGAGAGGAUUCCCCACCCCGCCGAGCCCCACCUCUCUGAAAACGUCUCUUGAACCCGUUUCGCGGUUCCGGGUAAAUGGUUUUGCAAAUGAGCUACUCCGCUACUGGUCCGCGAGACAGAGACUCCGCCCCCAACUUCAGAGAGGCUGCGCUCUUCCAAGGCUGUGGGAUCCUACGCCGAGCCACCGCAAGCUCCGCCCCCGCAAGCUCCGCCCCCGCUUCCGCAGCCCGCGCUCCGGCCGCCACGCCCCCAGCAGUCGCACUUUUACCGUCCCGCGAGGGUGUGUGCGGUGGCCUCUACGGGGCCCCUCACCCCACACCAGGCGGCGUCACUGAGGCCCGGGGAGCCCAAGUGAUUUUUCCCAAAGCCACUCAUCCCUCUAUAUACCUGACAUCGUGCUGGGGACUGUCACAAUAAUACUAAUGAUAACUCCACAGCCACUGGACAACUGGACCACUGGACCAGGUUCUCUCCCAACGUUUUAUUAAGAAUAUUUUCAACAUACAGAAAAAUGGAAAGAAGUCUACAGUGUUCACCCACCACCUAGGAUUCAACGGUUGUUUCCCUUCCGCCAUAUUUGCUUUAUCCCUCUUUACGGGUGUGUGAGGCUUUUGUUUUUUCUGGAUCUUUUUUUUUUAAAUAAAUUUAUUUGAUUUAUUUAUUUUU